GAUGAACGCUAGCGGCAGGCUUAACACAUGCAAGUCGAGGGGUAUAGUUCUUCGGAACUAGAGACCGGCGCACGGGUGCGUAACGCGUAUGCAAUCUACCUUUUGCAGAGGGAUAGCCCAGAGAAAUUUGGAUUAAUACCUCAUAGUAUGUGAGAAUGGCAUCAUUUUCACAUUAAAGUCACAACGGCAAAAGAUGAGCAUGCGCCCCAUUAGCUAGUUGGUAAGGUAACGGCUUACCAAGGCAACGAUGGGUAGGGGUCCUGAGAGGGAGAUCCCCCAGCCUGGUACUGAGAGACGGACCAGACUCCUACGGGAGGAAGCAGUGAGGAAUAUUGAACAAUGGGCGCAAGCCUGAUCCAGCCAUGCCGCGUGCAGGAUGACGGUCCUAUGGAUUGUAAACUGCUUUUGUACAGGAAGAAACACUGGUUCGUGAACCAGCUUGACGGUACUGUAAGAAUAAGGAUCGGCUAACUCCGUGCCAGCAGCCGCCGUAACAC
rnacentral:rRNA from 1 species